UACAGAGACCUCAAGCGUUAUCCGGAUUUAUUGGGCGUAAAGAGCAUGUAGGCGGAUAUAUUAGUCAGAUGUCAAAUCUUCGAGCUCAACUCGAAAACUGCAUUUGAAACGGUAUAUCUUGAGGAAGUGAGAGAUCAAUGGAACGUAUGGUGUAGCAGUGAAAUGCGUUGAUAUCAUACGGAACACCAAAGGCGAAGGCAUUUGAUUGGCACUUUUCUGACGCUGAGAUGCGAAAGCGUGGGUAGCGAAUGGGAUUAGAUACCCCAGUAGUCCACGCCGUAAACGAUGCAUACUUGGUAUUACGAGAAUCGACCCUCGUAGUGUCGUAGCUAACGCGUUAAGUAUGCCGCCUGGGAAGUACGAGCGCAAGCUUAAA
rnacentral:rRNA from 1 species